rnacentral:rRNA from 1 species
UACGGAGGAUGCGAGCGUUAUCCGGAUUUAUUGGGUUUAAAGGGUGCGUAGGCGGACUGUCAAGUCAGCGGUAAAAUUGAGAGGCUCAACCUCUUCCCGCCGUUGAAACUGGUGGUCUUGAGUAGAUGAGAAGUACGCGGAAUGCGUGGUGUAGCGGUGAAAUGCAUAGAUAUCACGCAGAACUCCGAUUGCGAAGGCAGCGUACCGGCAUCCAACUGACGCUGAGGCACGAAAGCGUGGGGAUCAAACAGG